rnacentral:ncRNA from 2 species
GCCUUGUAUCUGCAUGAUUUGAGACAGUCUUACGCUUUUGAGGACGUAGCAAGGCUU